ensembl:snRNA U5 U5 spliceosomal RNA
UCUCUCUGGUUUCUCUUCAGAUCGUAUAAAUCUUUCGCCUUUUACUAAAGAUUACUCAUAUGUGUAAGUGUUUAUGAGAUUGGGCUGUAUAAUUGUAGAUGAUAGUGGAUAUAAUAUU